CGUAGGUGGCGAGCGUUGUCCGGAAUUACUGGGUGUAAAGGGCGUGUAGGCGGGAAUGUAAGUCAGAUGUGAAAUGCCGAGGCUUAACCUCGGAGCUGCAUCUGAAACUGUGUUUCUUGAGUGUCGGAGAGGAAAGUGGAAUUCCCAGUGUAGCGGUGAAAUGCGUAGAUAUUGGGAGGAACACCAGUGGCGAAGGCGACUUUCUGGACGAUAACUGACGCUGAGGCGCGAAAGCGUGGGGAGCAAACAGGAUUAGAUACCCUGGUAGUCCACGCCGUAAACGAUGGAUACUAGGUGUGGGAGGUAUCGACCCCUUCCGUGCCGCAGUUAACACAAUAAGUAUCCCACCUGGGGAGUACGGCCGCAAGGUUG
rnacentral:rRNA from 1 species